rnacentral:rRNA from 1 species
CCUACGGGAGGCAGCAGUGGGGAAUAUUGGACAAUGGGCGAAAGCCUGAUCCAGCCAUGCCGCGUGUGUGAAGAAGGCCUUUUGGUUGUAAAGCACUUUAAGCGGGGAGGAGGGCUCUGUGGUUAAUACCCAUAGAAGUCGGACGUUACCCGCAGAAUAAGCACCGGCUAACUCUGUGCCAGCAGCCGCGGUAAUACAGAGGGUGCGAGCGUUAAUCGGAAUUACUGGGCGUAAAGCGCGCGUAGGCGGCUUGUUAAGUCGGAUGUGAAAUCCCUGGGCUCAACCUAGGCAUUGCAUUCGAUACUGGCAAGCUAGAGUAUGGGAGAGGAAGGUAGAAUUCCAGGUGUAGCGGUGAAAUGCGUAUAGAUCUGGAGGAAUACCGAUGGCGAAGGCAGCCUUCUGGCCUAAUACUGACGCUGAGGUGCGAAAGCAUGGGGAGCAAACAGGAUUAGAUACCCUGGUAGUCCAUGCCGUAAACGAUGUCAACUAGCCGUUGGGCCCCUUGAGGGCUUAGUGGCGCAGCUAACGCGAUAAGUUGACCGCCUGGGGAGUACGGUCGCAAGACUAAAACUCAAAUGAAUUGACGG